AUCUUCUAAUCAUCACAGGAGGGUCAUGGAAGACUGUUUCGGUCAGGUUCCCCAGAAACCCCACUCAGUCAGCCCCUGGUUCCUGUCAUACAGCAUACUGUCAACAUCUCAGAAGCUUCACGAUAGCAUGAGAAAGGCUGUUCACCUCAUGCUCAUAAGGAAAGAAAGGCAAAGGAACUGGAAAGGCAGCAGCCCUGAAAGUCUGGAAAUUCCACUGGCAUGAUCUAAAGUUGGGAAAGAACAGAGGCUCCAGCAUCCUGCAAACACAAGAGUUCCUGAAGCCAGUGCUGAACUUCUGCAAAAGCCACUCUGCUUUCCCAGUGCUAAGAACAAAGAUGUGGAUGUAAUAGUAAAUUUGUGAAAAAAAAC